UGUUAUUUCGCCGAUUUUGUUUUUACUCAA
rnacentral:piRNA from 1 species